AUUGAACGCUGGCGGCAUGCCUAACACAUGCAAGUCGAGGGGUAGAGGCUUUCGGGCCUUGAGACCGGCGCACGGGUGCGUAACGCGUAUGCAAUCUGCCUUGUACUGAGGGAGAGCCCAGAGAAAUUUGGAUUAACACCUCAUAGUAUUUUAGUGUGGCAUCACAUUAUUAUUAAAGGUUACGGUACAAGAUGAGCAUGCGUCCCAUUAGCUAGUUGGUAUGGUAACGGCAUACCAAGGCUACGAUGGGUAGGGGUCCUGAGAGGGAGAUCCCCCACACUGGUACUGAGACACGGACCAGACUCCUACGGGAGGCAGCAGUGAGGAAUAUUGGUCAAUGGUCGCAAGACUGAACCAGCCAUGCCGCGUGCAGGAUGAAGCAUCUAUGGUGUGUAAACUGCUUUUGUACGGGAAGAAACACCGCUACGUGUAGCGGCUUGACGGUACCGUAAGAAUAAGGAUCGGCUAACUCCGUGCCAGCAGCCGCGGUAACAC
rnacentral:rRNA from 1 species